rnacentral:lncRNA from 1 species
GGUCACUUCCUCCACAACCCCAGAGUCAUCUCAUAACAAGUCAGCCUGCCUUAACAGUUUCCAUGUCACACAAACAGCUUGAGAGAGGCUGUGCAACUCACCCACAGCAGCCGCGAUCUGGGCCUCCUCCUAUGUUCCCCUGUUCAGACCCCUGCUCCAUGAACUGGGCGGACCCAUGUCCACUAAAGUGCUGAGGAAGUGACAGCGUGUGAUUUCUGAGGCUAGAUCAUAAAGGGCACAGCAGUUCUCACCUCACUCUUCUGCCUGGGUUACUGCAGAGUAAGCCAGCUACCAGUAAGCCACCCCAGCAACCCUUUGGAGAGGCAUGCGUGGAGAGCAGCCAAGGCCCUGGUGGUCCCCGGCCUCCUUGCCGUGUGAGUGAACCGUGCUGGAAGUGGGUUUUCUGGCUCCAGACCUCAGACACUGCAGCCUGUAUGGCGUCUUCCCUGAGACCUCAUAUGACCUCAAACUCAUACACUGGGUCUGUGGAAGGGAGCAGAUAACCUCUCUGUUUCUAGUUCUUAGACUAAGAGGAACUGGACACCAGGAGCCUCAUACCAGGACUGCCCAGCCGAGCCACUCGAUUCCUGACCCACAUGGCCCUUGAGAUGACAAGUGAUUGCUGCUUAAAGUCACUGAGUUCUGGAAUAAUUUACAUCAUGGCAAUAGGUAACUAAUGCAGAUUCUGGUACCUGGAAAAGGAGUGCUGACAUCAAACAGCUCUAUAGAUGUGGGCGUGGCCUCAGAACUGGCCACAGGCAGGAGCCAGAAGGACUCUGUGGAAAGCGUGAGUGUCUAAGG